GACGAACGCUGGCGGCGUGCUUAACACGUGCAAGUCGAACGGUGAAGCGCCUUCCUUUUUGGUGGGUGUGGAUGAGUGGCGAACGGGUGAGUAACACGUGAGUAACCUGCCCCCUUCUUCUGGAUAACCGCAUGAAAGUGUGGCUAAUACGGGAUAUUCUGGGUCUGUCGCAUGAUGGGUCUGGGAAAGAUAUUGUUUCGGUGGGGGAUGGGCUCGCGGCCUAUCAGCUUGUUGGUGGGGUGAUGGCCUACCAAGGCGGUGACGGGUAGCCGGCCUGAGAGGGUGGACGGUCACACUGGGACUGAGACACGGCCCAGACUCCUACGGGAGGCAGCAGUGGGGAAUAUUGCACAAUGGGCGCAAGCCUGAUGCAGCGACGCCGCGUGAGGGAUGGAGGCCUUCGGGUUGUGAACCUCUUUCGCCAGUGAAGCAGGCCUGCCUCGUUUGUGGGUGGGUUGACGGUAGCUGGAGAAGAAGCGCCGGCUAACUACGUG
rnacentral:rRNA from 1 species